UGCAAAGUGCUUAGCUCCUCUUAAUUGGUC
rnacentral:piRNA from 1 species